rnacentral:rRNA from 1 species
GACGAACGCUGGCGGCGUGCUUAACACAUGCAAGUCGAGCGGAAAGGCCCUUCGGGGUACUCGAGCGGCGAACGGGUGAGUAACACGUGAGCAACCUGCCCCAAGCUUUGGGAUAACCCUCGGAAACGGGGGCUAAUACCGAAUAGGACUUCCGGCCGCAUGGCUGGGGGUGGAAAGUUUUUCGGCUUGGGAUGGGCUCGCGGCCUAUCAGCUUGUUGGUGGGGUGAUGGCCUACCAAGGCGACGACGGGUAGCCGGCCUGAGAGGGCGACCGGCCACACUGGGACUGAAGACACGGGCCCAGACUCCUACGGGAGGCAGCAGUGGGGAAUAUUGCACAAUGGGCGGAAGCCUGAUGCAGCGACGCCGCGUGAGGGAUGACGGCCUUCGGGUUGUAAACCUCUUUCAGCAGGGACGAAGCGAGAGUGACGGUACCUGCAGAAAGAAGCACCGGCCAACUACGUGCCAGCAGCCGCGGUAAGACGUAGGGUGCGAGCGUUGUCCGGAUUUAUUGGGCGUAAAGAGCUCGUAGGCGGCUUGUCGCGUCGACCGUGAAAACUUGGGGCUCAACCCCAAGCCUGCGGUCGAUACGGGCAGGCUAGAGUUCGGUAGGGGAGACUGGAAUUCCUGGUGUAGCGGUGAAAUGCGCAGAUAUCAGGAGGAACACCGGUGGCGAAGGCGGGUCUCUGGGCCGAUACUGACGCUGAGGAGCGAAAGCGUGGGG